rnacentral:rRNA from 1 species
GAUGAACGCUGGCUACAGGCUUAACACAUGCAAGUCGCGGGGCAGCAUGGGGGUUGCUUGCGACCCCUGAUGGCGACCGGCGCACGGGUGAGUAACGCGAAUCCCACCUUCCCUUCACCACGGGAUAACCCGGCGAAAGUCGUACUAAUACCGUGUGUUGUCCCUUUACGGCAUCGGGUUUUGACGAAGGUCUUGGCGGUGUAAGGAAGGGGAUGCGUCCGAUUCGCUUGACGGCGGGGUAACGGCCCUCCGUGGCUAUGAUCGGUAAGGGUUCUGAGGGGAAGGUCCCCCACAAGGGAACUGGGACACGGGGCAGACGAAUACGGGAGGCAGCAGUGAGGAAUGUUGGUCAAUGGGAGUAAGCCUGAACCAGCCAAGUAGCGUGCAGGAAGACUGCGUGAGGGGUUGUAAACUGCUUUUAUGCGGGGAUAAAGUGGCUAAGGUGUGGGCUAUUGAAGGUACCGCAUGAAUAAGGACCGGCUAAUUACGUG